rnacentral:lncRNA from 1 species
UGUAAACGGAAAACACACCCAAGCGCUGGGCUGGGUGACGGUGAGUUCUGCCAGCGGCGACCGGGCUCCGCCGUGCUGCCUGGGCCGGCGCGGGGUGCCUGGGGCAGGGCCGGGACCACACCGGGGGGCAGCGCCGGGGUCCCCUGCCAGGAGACGGGACGGGCAGAGAAAAGCCGGGGGGCGGGGCGGCCUCGCCGCGGUGACUCAGCGGCGCGGAGCACCGGGCUGCGACCGGUAUUUCCUGUUCCCCUGCCGCCGCCGCGGUGUCGGUGUGUGCGGGCGUGGGCCGGGGCAGCCGGGCGAAGGCACCCCUGGACUGGAGGGGCGGCAGCCGCAGGUGGGGGCGCGCCUAAAGAGGGGGCGCGCCGCCCGCCCCGUCCGGCCGCCACCGCCCCUCCCCUGCCGUGCCCUGCCCUGCCCUCCCCAUCCUUCCCCUCUCCUCCCCACCUGGGGGCGAGGCCGGCACCUGCAGCGGGAGCCCGCCCCGGCGUGGCCGCACCGCCCCCGCCCGCGCCCCGCAGGAAAUCGCCCGACUCGGCGGGAGCGGCCACAGCGGACCCGGACCCAGCUUCAGACUCGUCUCCAGUCCCAGCCUCGGCCCUGCACUCGGAUUCGACGCCCUCAGUCGCUGCCCGCUCCCGGGCGACAGGGCAGGGCAAGGCGCAGUCCCAGCGCCGGGGCGCCUCUGGGACCUCUGCUCCCGCUGCCGGACGCCCUCCGCGAGCAGGCGAGUAUCCCCGCGGGAUGUCCCCGCCCCGAACCCGCGCUCAUCGCCGCUUCCCUCCCCCCGGGCAGGUGCGGUGCCCCCCGGCACCCCCUGUUCUCCGCGGCCGGUGCCUCCUCUCCCCGCCCCGGGGGCCGCGCUGCGGCCACGAGCUGCCCGGCUUCUCAUUCUCGUUCCUUUGUGUGCUUUGGCUUUUAUCGCCCUGUUGCCUGCGCUCCUCAGGCGCGCCUUGCCGCCUUUGUCCGCGCACUCGGACCCGCCGCGCCCCCGCGGGGCCCCCAGGCCGGUCCCGCGCCCGUCGCGCACCUGGGCGGCGCGAACAGCCGCGCUCGGCCGGGGAUCGGCUUUUCUCUAACGGGAUUAAGCGGCUCUCGAUGACUUUUUCCGUGAUAAGUACUUUCCGGGAGAGCGCGAUACUACGCGGAAAGUGGGAGAGAUGUCACCAGCGAGUCGGGGUGUUUGUUUACCCGGGCUACUCCCGGGGGGGCCGCUGGCGGGGCGGAUCCCCCGGGCAGCUCACGCCCCCGCUGUCGGGGGUUUGGGCUGCCUUUGUUGCGCAGAGAAUUCCUGAAAUCUUUAUGUUGGCACAUCCCGAGUGA